CUAAUUUAGUGACUUGUAUGUUUUAUGAGAAAACCACAAAAGGAGGAAUCUUUAGAGCAAAACAAAAAUUAAUAGGAAAGUUUAAAAAUGUAGCGCUAUGCUUAAAAUGUCCUCUCGAUGUGAAGUAAGAAUUGGAAAUCUACAUGAGUAAUAAGAAAGCACAAACAAUGGAAUCAUAUGGCUCACUACCUAAUUUAGUGAUGAGCCAAUUAGAGAUGAUGUGGAUGAAAUUGAAGAUGAAAUGCGUCCUGAAUUGAAUGUUAGUGGUAAAAGGGUGGGAAUGGAAAAGAAUAGAAUAAAAGUAGCUAGUGGCAAUAAGAAGGCAAAAUCAAUGGGAAAGGGUCCAAUGGAUUUAUAUUUGAUUCAAAAACUAAAUAAAGUAGUUCAAUAACAUAAAAAAAGAGGGAAGCUUAGACAAACAAGCAUGAAUGAUGCAUGUGACAAAGAAGCAAGAGCUAGAAUAAUUCAGUAUAUUGCUCAAUUUUUUUACCAAGCAAGUAUACCAUUGAAUGCUACUCGUUUAGACUCCUUUAAGUGGAUGAUUAAAGCUAUUGGCAGGUAUGGACCAAAUUUAAAACCUCCAAGCUAU
rnacentral:misc_RNA from 1 species